CCCCGUGAACCUUUACUAUAGCUUGACACUGAACAUUGAGCCUUGAUGUGUAGGAUAGGUGGGAGGCUUUGAAGUGUGGACGCCAGUCUGCAUGGAGCCGACCUUGAAAUACCACCCUUUAAUGUUUGAUGUUCUAACGUUGACCCGUAAUCCGGGUUGCGGACAGUGUCUGGUGGGUAGUUUGACUGGGGCGGUCUCCUCCUAAAGAGUAACGGAGGAGCACGAAGGUUGGCUAAUCCUGGUCGGACAUCAGGAGGUUAGUGCAAUGGCAUAAGCCAGCUUGACUGCGAGCGUGACGGCGCGAGCAGGUGCGAAAGCAGGUCAUAGUGAUCCGGUGGUUCUGAAUGGAAGGGCCAUCGCUCAACGGAUAAAAGGUACUCCGGGGAUAACAGGCUGAUACCGCCCAAGAGUUCAUAUCGACGGCGGUGUUUGGCACCUCGAUGUCGGCUCAUCACAUCCUGGGGCUGAAGUAGGUCCCAAGGGUAUGGCUGUUCGCCAUUUAAAGUGGUACGCGAGCUGGGUUUAGAACGUCGUGAGACAGUUCGGUCCCUAUCUGCCGUGGGCGCUGGAGAACUGAGGGGGGCUGCUCCUAGUACGAGAGGACCGGAGUGGACGCAUCACUGGUGUUCGGGUUGUCAUGCCAAUGGCACUGCCCGGUAGCUAAAUGCGGAAGAGAUAAGUGCUGAAAGCAUCUAAGCACGAAACUUGCCCCGAGAUGAGUUCUCCCUGACUCCUUGAGAGUCCUGAAGGAACGUUGAAGACGACGACGUUGAUAGGCCGGGUGUGUAAGCGCAGCGAUGCGUUGAGCUAACCGGUACUAAUGAACCGUGAGG
rnacentral:rRNA from 1 species